CCUACGGGAGGCAGCAGUGAGGAAUAUUGGUCAAUGGGCGGGAGCCUGAACCAGCCAAGCCGCGUGAGGGAAGAAGGUACAGCGUAUCGUAAACCUCUUUUGUCAGGGAACAAAGGCGGGGACUAGUCCCCGGAUGAGGGUACCUGAAGAAAAAGCAUCGGCUAACUACGUGCCAGCAGCCGCAGUAAUACGUAGGGGGCAAGCGUUAUCCGGAUUUACUGGGUGUAAAGGGAGCGUAGACGGCAGUGCAAGUCUGGAGUGAAAGGCGUGGGCUCAACCCCCGGACUGCUCUGGAAACUGUACGGCUGGAGUGCAGGAGAGGUAAGUGGAA
rnacentral:rRNA from 1 species